rnacentral:rRNA from 1 species
CACGUAGGGCGCAAGCGUUGUCCGGAAUUAUUGGGCGUAAAGAGCUCGUAGGCGGUCCGUCACGUCCGCUGUGAAAACCCAGGGCUCAACCCUGGGCUUGCAGUGGAUACGGGCAGACUAGAGGUAGGUAGGGGAGAAUGGAAUUCCCGGUGUAGCGGUGAAAUGCGCAGAUAUCGGGAGGAACACCGGUGGCGAAGGCGGUUCUCUGGGCCUUACCUGACGCUGAGACGCGAAAGCGUGGGGAGCAAACAGG